GACAAAUUUUAGAACAUUAUAUAACGAAGAACCAGAUCGUCGUGGCCAUGUGAUGUGAAUAAAAGGACUUGAAUUUGAUGAUAUUUUUAUAAUGUUAGAUAACAUAACUAAGUAUCUUCACAGUAAGAUAGGAUGACAUGGUUUACAUGAUCUUAAUGUUGUUCACUCGAGUGAUGAUAUUAUAAGGAAAAGCGUAAUAUCACAGGAUAUUUAUGUUUAGUAACCAGUAAUUCAGAGAUUGGUAUUCAUGGUUACUAUAACGAGGCUGUAGAAACGCACCCUUUCUUCUUUGCAAAUGGUCCUGUAUUUAUGUCUAAGCCGAAACUGGAACCUCUGAAUAAUUUAGAUUUAUUCUUGUUAUUUUCUAAAAUACUUAUCUACAGUAUACCAUAAGGAAUGAUACCGUAUCACACCUAAUCAAGUGCCUUAAGAAACAUCAACAGGAUAUCACAGUAAUCCCUUAUCGACUGAUAUUUGUAGCCACUACAAUAUCUAUGACACUGGUAGUAAUUAUAAGAACAAUAAUGAUAUUCUAUAAGAGGAAAUGAUGAUUAGGAACAAAAACUUACAGGAGAUAUCAUGCGGUGGAUGGAUAAUAUGUAAAAAAUAUUAAGCAGUAUAUGAAUUUUCAUAUUGCGUAGAGAUAACAAAAUGAAUUUUAAAAAAUGUCGACAUGGUAAUAAGAAAUAGCAUCAUGACAAAGAAUAUAUAAACACAGUUUCAUUUUUUAUAAAUAAA